rnacentral:rRNA from 1 species
CCUACGGGAGGCAGCAGUGAGGAAUAUUGGUCAAUGGACGAGAGUCUGAACCAGCCAAGUAGCGUGAAGGAUGACUGCCCUAUGGGUUGUAAACUUCUUUUAUAUGGGAAUAAAACGUUCCACGUGUGGGAUUUUGUAUGUACCAUAUGAAUAAGGAUCGCCUAACUCCGUGCCAGCAGCCGCGGUAAUACGGAGGAUCUGAGCGUUAUCCGGAUUUAUUGGGUUUAAAGGGAGCGUAGGUGGAUUGUUAAGUCAGUUGUGAAAGUUUGCGGCUCAACCGUAAAAGUGCAGUUGAAACUGGCAGUCUUGAGUACAGUAGAGGUGGGCGGAAUUCGUGGUGUAGCGGUGAAAUGCUUAGAUAUCGCGAAGAACUCCGAUUGCGAAGGCAGUUCACUGGACUGCAACUGACACUGAGGCUCGAAAGUGUGGGUAUCAAACAGGAUUAGAUACCCCAGUAGUC